CAUCACAGCAGUAAAGUCUGAGAUACAGCAGGUAACUGCCAGGCUACACACCUCAGAGGCAGACAUAACCUCACUGAAACAGGGCAUAGAUAACCUCGGGGACACAGUUCAACACCUCAGCUCCUCUUACUCACACUUAUCGAGCCGAAUGGAGCAAUUAGAAGACAGAAGUAGGAGUAAAAACAUCAAGAUACUGGGAGUCGCUGACAUGCUCCCCCCCCGAUGAACUACCACAUUUUGUCCGGCGACUGGUCGCCUUCCUACUAGCGACACGAUCGGUCAAGCAAUUCGCCUUUGAAGGUGUGUACCGCAUCGCUAAAUCCCCCCAAGCGCCCACCACCUCAACCCGAGACAUCAUCUUAUGUUGCCAGUCUUAUGCAGAUAAGCAAAGGAUCUUCACGGCUCUGAAGGGGAAAACACCAUUAAAAUUUGAAUCAUUU